UCACAGUUUUUGUACACACACCUUCUACACUUUAUGUAUGUAUGCACGUGUGUGCAUGCUUUCUCAUGUGGGGGCCAGAGGACAGCCUGCAGGAUUGUUCUCCCGUGUGGGUUCUGCGGCUAAGACUAAGGCUUGGUGGCAAAUGCCUUCACCUGCUGAGCUGCCUUGUUUCUUUCCCACCAUGCCGUGCUCGGAGACAGUGCUCAGGGCUGAUGCCUUGGUAGAGGAAGAGCCCCUCUGUCCAGCUGCCAACCUCAGUGAGCAGAGGAGUUGUUGUUGGUGUCCAUGUGUGUUCUGGAUCAGGCCGCUGUGGUGAAGGGCACCGUCUUCUGGGUUCACCGCUGUUGAGCUGGCCUGCAUUCUGGAGCAGCCCCGCCAUGAAGGCUUGACCUCACAGGCUGCUGCGGUCCGACGUCUUACAACUGUGUUCUCUCAGCAAAUGAUGCUGGCUGUGCUUUCCCGAAUGUGUGGUGACUGACGGAGGCUUGGCUCCCUCCUCUGAUAGCUGUGGUGCCCUUUGGUUGCAUAUGGUACUCUUUGCUGUGUGUAGAUACCUCUGAGCUGUGGACCUGCAGUGGUGUCGUGCACAAAGGCUCCUUCCGUGGAGGCUGGUUCAGGAGGGGAGGCAGAUAACGGUAGAGUAUUAGCUCCUGGUGACCGCUGCUGUGACCUGUGCCUGGGAGAGACAGCAGAAAGGUGCAUUUCAGACUUCACUCAUGAAUGUGUGCGUGUGUGUAUGAGUGCACAGGCGUAAAAAUAAAUCUGUUUUGGCUUACA
rnacentral:lncRNA from 1 species